CCUACGGGAGGCAGCAGUGGGGAAUAUUGCACAAUGGGCGGAAGCCUGAUGCAGCGACGCCGCGUGAGGGAUGAAGGCCUUCGGGUUGUAAACCUCUUUCAGCAGGGACGAAGCGUGAGUGGACGGUACCUGCAGAAGAAGCACCGGCUAACUACGUGCCAGCAGCCGCGGCAAUACGUAGGGUGCGAGCGUUGUCCGGAAUUACUGGGCGUAAAGAGUUCGUAGGCGGUUUGUCGCGUCGUUUGUGAAAACCCGGGGCUCAACUUCGGGCUUGCAGGCGAUACGGGCAGACUUGAGUGUUUCAGGGGAGACUGGAAUUCCUGGUGUAGCGGUGAAAUGCGCAGAUAUCAGGAGGAACACCGGUGGCGAAGGCGGGUCUCUGGGAAACAACUGACGCUGAGGAACGAAAGCGUGGGUAGCAAACAGGAUUAGAUACCCUGGUAGUCCACGCCGUAAACGGUGGGCGCUAGGUGUGGGUUCCUUCCACGGGAUCUGUGCCGUAGCUAACGCAUUAAGCGCCCGCCUGGGGAGUACGGCCGCAAGGCUAAAACUCAAAUGAAUUGACGGCNGNGAGUGCGACGACGACGACGAGGAGAGG
rnacentral:rRNA from 1 species